UACGUAGGGCGCAAGCGUUGUCCGGAAUUAUUGGGCGUAAAGAGCUCGUAGGCGGCCUGUUGCGUCCGCUGUGAAAACCCAGGGCUCAACCCUGGGCCUGCAGUCGAUACGGGCAGACUAGAGUCCGGCAGGGGAGACUGGAAUUCCUGGUGUAGCGGUGAAAUGCGCAGAUAUCAGGAGGAACACCGGUGGCGAAGGCGGGUCUCUGGGCCGGAACUGACGCUGAGGAGCGAAAGCGUGGGGAGCGAACAGG
rnacentral:rRNA from 1 species